rnacentral:rRNA from 2 species
UUUGGAUUGAACUUGAGAGUUUGAUCCUGGCUCAGAACGAACGCUGGCGGCAGGCCUAACACAUGCAAG